CACCUGAGUAGCCAAGCAAAUAAUACUAUCCAUGAAUUAUUUACCAAGUUUUACAAAAUAGAUAAACGUGAAACGUUCAAUACAUCAGUGUUUCCAAGUUACUUGAAAUUUUUGAUAUCAUAAGAAACUUUUAUAUAAAUAAUUUUUUUUAUAAAAAGUUGAGUGAGAAUGUAUUUUAAAAUAAUAUUUGUCCUGAUUGCAUUGACUGGAAUUUUUCAAGACGUUUACUGUGGAGAACCAACAAAUAAAAUGGAAGUAGGCGUCUAUAAUCUGAUGAAAAAUAAACUAAAAGAUAUGAUUUAUUCGAGUGAAACAAAUUUUGGAGACGAAAAGCGACUUCAAAAGAAAGAAGUGAUUUCUGAAGAUGUAAUUCCGAAGUCUAAAAUAGAAAUUAAGAAGUAGACGUAUUAAAUUACAUUUUUCAAUACAAUAAUAACCUUUAUCUUUUGUCACUAUUCAACAAAUGCCACUUCCGAAUAAAUAUUUCAUUAAAAUUUUUGAAAAAAUCAA